CUGCUGUGCUGUAGCGUCCAGGUGUGCAGGCAGGUAAGCUCACCUGUGAGCCUGUGGAGUAGCGGCCAGGCGUCCGUGAGGUGGUGGUCUUACUGGAGGAGGAGAUAGAGGUCUCCACGCUCUUGCCGCUGCAGCACUUUGUCUCCCUCACCUUCUUCUGCAGUAUGCAGUGAAAGAUGAAGAUGAACAUGCCCUGCAGAGAGUUGAAGAUGGUGAAAAGGUAUAAGGACAGUUCCCACUCCUCAGGACAGUUUGCUGACUGAUGAAGCAUCAUUCAUUGACAUUUCUCUAC